rnacentral:rRNA from 1 species
CCUACGGGAGGCUGCAGUGGGGAAUAUUGCGCAAUGGGCGAAACCCUGAUGCAGCGACGCCGCGUGGGGGAAGAAGGGCCUCGGCGCGUAAAGCCCUGUCAGCAGGGAAGAAAAUGACGGUACCUGUAGCAGAAGCCCCGGCUAACGACGUGCCAGCAGCCGCGGUAAUACGGAGGGGGCCAGCGUUAUCCGGAUUUACUGGGUGUAAAGGGGGCGCAGACGGCGAUGCAAGCCAGGAGUGAAAGCGCGGGGCCCAACCCCGGGACUGCUCUUGGAACUGGGUGGCUAGAGUGCAGGAGGGGCAGGCGGAAUUCCUGGUGUAGCGGUGAAAUGCGUAGAUAUCAGGAGGAACACCGGUGGCGAAGGCGGCCUGCUGGACUGCAACUGACGUUGAGGCCCGAAAGCGUGGGGAGCAAACAGGAUUAGAUACCCUUGUAGUC